rnacentral:rRNA from 1 species
AGGAUAAACGCUGGCGGCGUGCUUAACACAUGCAAGUCGAGCGGAAAGGCCCUUCGGGGUACUCGAGCGGCGAACGGGUGAGUAACACGUGAGUAAUCUGCCCCUAGCUCUGGGAUAGCUCCGGGAAACCGGGAUUAAUACCAGAUACGACCACUUUAGACAUCUGUUGUGGUGGAAAGAAUUUUGGCUAGGGAUGAGCUCGCGGCCUAUCAGCUUGUUGGUGAGGUAACGGCUCACCAAGGCGACGACGGGUAGCCGGCCUGAGAGGGCGACCGGCCACACUGGGACUGAGACACGGCCCAGACUCCUACGGGAGGCAGCAGUGGGGAAUAUUGCGCAAUGGGCGAAAGCCUGACGCAGCGACGCCGCGUGGGGGAUGAAGGCCUUCGGGUUGUAAACCCCUUUCAGCAGGGACGAAGCGAAAGUGACGGUACCUGCAGAGAAGCGCCGGCUAACUACGCGCCAGCAGCCGC